AAUCGAAGAGCGACCAAACAAUUGGAAUAUGGUACAGUCAGAACUGCCAUGAUCUGCGUAGAAGAAUGUACCUACCGCCUAUAGUAUAAAAUAUAAUUCAUCCUGUCAUGCAGCGGAAUUAUACUAUAUAGAAUUGGUUUUUAUAAUGUUUGGUUGUAGAAAACAUUGCAGAUAGCUUGAUUAUCUUAGGACAUUUGGAUAUGUCGACGUCAUAAUGAUUUCGACGUGGUUAAGAAUUGUCGUGAUCUUUCUUGUGUUUGUAUGCAAUGCUGUUGAUACAGUAUCAGCACAACAAACGUACAAGAAAGUAAAAACAUCAUUUAGUUUUGUUCUUGUUCAGAGCAUCGUCGGCACUGUCAAGGCAGUCGAGGAUGCGGCAGAUUUUCAAUCAUCACUUGGUCGGCAUAUAAAGACGACGUUCAACGCAUCUAUAGAGGAAAUUGAAACUUCACCGAGGUCUACGUGGGAGAACGUGGAUGUUUCUUAUAAACUUGUUACUGACUUAGAUAGCACAUAUUCUUUAGCUGUCAGAGAUACUAUGACAAACGUUAUUCGUAUUGGAGAAUAUGUUUUCUCAUAUAAUAGUAUAUCUUUCAAAAGUAAAAAUGGAAGUCUUAUUACAAAAGAAUCUUGGAAGGAGACCUGGUAUGAAAUCGGUCAUCAAAUUUUAUACGCCGCCAUUGUGGCAAUUGUUAGCAUUUCAAUAUUUGCAGUUGCUGUUCAUUUUACAUGUCGGUGGGGCAAGCGGCGUCCUGCUACAGAAGGACGAUACAUUUUAAAUGAAACACCACGUACAAGCAGAGCAAUGCCAAAUGUUGAUAAUCCGUACCUGGAAGAAGUAGCGCCAGACGAUGGGGGUACCCUCAAAGCAAAUGAAUCCGAUGCUGCCGGAAUGAAUGGAAAGGUGCAUUCAAACGGAGAAAUCACAUCAAACGAUGAAAAAAUAGAAAUGAAAACAUUAAAGGAAGAAAAUUCUCAAGCUGAUGGGAAAAACUCCGGAACAGACAAUAAAGGUUUUGAGAAUGAAAAUUCAGUUUUCGCAAAACUGGUUUACUCAGAGUAUUCAGUGCCAGCAAAACAUUCACACGAAUUUUUAUAGUACCUGUACUCAGUUUACGGUGAUGCAAAGCGCGCAUGUCAAUGUUGUGUAUGGCGCGCAUACACUGUCGUAAACGUUGCGAUUUAUAGAGGGAAAACCAUAAAAACACGGAUGGCGUUUAUAUCUGUAGAAGUAUACUGUUGAAUUAAACACUGGGUUUUAUAAAAAAAAAACAAAAAAAACAUAUAUAUAUAUAUAUACAUGUAUAUAUAUAUAUAUAUAUAUAUAUAUAUAUAUAUGUACAGCAAAAAAAAAUUAUGAAUUUGAUUCAUAUAUUAUUAGUUAUUAUUAUUAAUAUUUUGUUCAUCCACACACAGUGCAAGUGUGAUGUAUCAAAAUAUUAUUGCGAUGUCACUGACGAAACCAUUCAAAAUGAAGCUGUUGUCGAUUCCUGAUGAUGACAUAAUUAAUGUCGAAAUAUUGAAUCUCGACACGAUGGCGUGCAUUUCGAUACUUGGAGUAUGUACUAUACUGUAUUAUACUAUCGUAUCUGAGAUUAAUCAGUGGACCUUCGGUUUUAAGCUGUUGACAAUUCAGUAAACAAUAUUAUUUGGACGUGGUAUACGUAUUUAAAUUUCAUGGCAAGAAAAGUCAAACGCAAAUCGUUUCCAGUCUCAACAGAAUUAACAUAGACAAAACACCAUAAACUAAUGUACAUUAUUAGGCCCCCGAUUAGGCCUUUGUGAUACUUUAGUUCAGACACUGUUGCAUAUUCUAAAUUUAAGUUGAUAGCAAUAAGAAAAAAACUUAUUAUUCAUAUACUAAAAGCGUUUGUACUACCUGGUUAAUGAUAAAAUAUCUUAGAAAAGAACAAAUAUUAGGCUUGCAUUAAAAUGAACCUGCUGCUGCGAAGUGCCUUGAAUAUAAAUAUAUAUAAUAUUAUUCGAAUAAUUAAGGAAGUAUUUUUAUCACUAUGACAAUAUAAUAUGUAUAUAGGGCCUAUAAUAUACAAAAAACAUUAUAGGCCGAUAUGAUCAGGUGCUUAAUACUGUAAUCCAGUAAUGGCACUGAGAGGGUCGAUGUAUCCGAUGGGUGCCGAUUUCCCAGACGAAAGUGGCGUGGCCGGGGGGUGGGGCAGCCCAGAACCCCUCAGAGGGGGUGGGAAGCCCUCGUAAACUCUGAUAAUUUAAGAUUAAGAGGCUUAUUUUAAUAAAUUUUAGAGUCUUACAUUCCGUAACAAUUACAUAGAUUUUCCGCCGGUGUUGUUCUCCCGACGGGAGGGGCGAGGAACACUUGCCUUUCUUCCUUUCUCCCCCGCUGACGCCAUCGUUGGACAAAACUAUAUCAACGGAGCAUAUAAACUAGAACACUUGUAGGCCCUAUUAGAAAUCAGGUCGACAUGUAGCAUUACACAAAAAUAGUUUAGAGUUUAUCUUUUCAUGUAUCUUUAUUUUAGAGUUUAUCUUUUCAUGUAUCUUUAUAUACUCUUUGUAUAAUUAGCGUCCAUAUUGCGAACUACCAAAUAACGUAAUUCAAAUUAUUUAUAAGACAUUUUUCUAAGCAUUGUAAUAUGUAAAGUUUUAUUACAAGUGACAAUUUCAGAAAUAGUGUUGCCCUUUUAUAAGCCCACAACUUUGGGUUUAAAUUUAAUAAUCCAAAUCAAUCAUUCAUUUUUAAAUACCCUUUCCGAUUAUAUUUUAAAGCAAUAAGGUGUCCACCCACAACUAAAUUUAGUACGUUUACUUAGUUCAAUGGAGGUGAGAAGGUGGUGGAAGUUGUUCUCUGAUGAGUGUUGACUAUAAUGACUGGAGUUAAUUACCAAAAAGCCUAUAUUAAAGGGACAGGAAACCUGUCACUUAGGCGCUACGUAAAUGUCUUAACAGAUGAAAUAAACGGUAAUUUGACAAUAUUUACUUAA